GGAGGGGCAGGGCGGUGUGGGAGGGGCGAGGACGGAGGGGAGGGGAGGAGAUGGAAGGGAGGGCGGGGCGGGGAUGGAGGAGAAGGGUGGAGCAGGGAGAGGCGGAGGGGCGAAAAGAGGAUGAAGGGGAGAGGAGAGGCGGGAUGAUCCCCCGCAGCUCUGAACGCCCGGCCUGCCUGUGCUUCGUGCGUUGCUGGGAGCGCCCCUGCCGGAGGCUCCCGGGCGGGUCGGCGUCCGCUUCCAGAGCCGAGGCCGGUUCUCACCCGGGCGGCCACGCCGCGCGCUGAACGGUUCCCCGCUGUCUCGGCUGAAAUGGGUGGGCAGAUCCUGUGCGCUACUUUUAAGUGCUAUAAUGAGCACCCUGAUUGUCAGCCCUGGGAGCAGCAAUGGCUCCGGGGAGCGGAGGGGGUGUCGUCCGCGCCCAUGUGCCAGGUCUGGACGCACGGAAGCCACAGCGGUGAUGGACAGUCCAGGUGGUGAGUUAUGUGGAGCAGAGUCAAAUUUCCCAGUUGUCCCACCUGUGCUCAUUCUAGAACAGCUGAACUGCAGGUGACCAGCAGACAUGUGGGUGAGCCCACCCAAGACCAGAAGAACUGCCUAGCAGAGCCCUGCCUCAGUCGCUGAUUCACAGAGUUGUGUGUCAAUAUUUAUAGUGUGACAUGUCAUUGAGGUUAUGUGGUUGAUACACAGCAUUAUUGUGGCAGUUAAUCACGGAUUCACUCUAGCUCCGCACAGCUGCCAGAAAGAGCUCUCAGAUCUGUGAUAUCGCAGGACCCAGCAUGGUUCUAUAUGCAGUUUGAAGCAGAUGGUGACAGUGGAAGGACCUUGGUGUCAGGCAGACCAGAGUGUGGACCUGCAGUCUGCUACUUACAAGCAGUGUGACUCUGGCGUCCCUUCCUCUUCUGCCAUGAGUGGAAGCAGCCUAAAGCCCUCGCCAGGAGCAGAUGCUGGUGCCAUGCUUCUUGUACAGCCUGCAGAACUGCGCAACAAAUAAGGCUCCUGUUUUUAAAAUACAAUUAUCCAGCUUCAGGCAUUGGAGAGCUGCAGAGGCAACUAGGCCUAAGAGGCCAAGAUUCCUGAAAGCGAAAAACCAUGAAAAGAUGAGCCAUAUUCUGACGCUGCUCUUCCCUCAGGCACUUGGGAAUGCUGGGCCAGGCCUGGGCUACAGUUUGGCUGCAUCUCUAUCCAGAUCUCAUCCUGAUUGUAGCUCCCACAAUUACCACGUCAUGGGAGGGACCUGGUGGCAGAUCUCAUGGGAGUUCUUUUGCUUCUGCCACCACGUAAGAUGUGACUCUGCUCCUCAUUUGCCUUCUGCCGUGAUUGUGAGGCCUCCCCAGCCAUGUGGAAUUGUGAGUCAAUUAAACCUCUUUUUUAAAAUAAAUUACCCAGUCUUGGGUAUGUUUUUAUUAGCAGCACGAGAGCAGACUAAUACAGUAUAUCUACCUAUCAGAGGAAAGGAUGAACAAUGUCAAACAUUAAAUAAAAAAUGUAGGCAUACCAAGAGACAAGACCAAAUGGUCAGAUAUAAGGAGGGGAGAUUUAGAUAAGGGAAAUCAACCCACAGGUGAUUCAGGUAUUGGACUUAGCUGACAAGGGCUUAAGAGAACUAUUAUUAAUAUGCAAAGGCAAUAUAGAAAAAGAUAGAUGGAAUAGAAUUUCAGCAGACAAUUGAAAAGCCAUGAAAAAAAUUAAAUGAAAAUUUUGAGAACUAAAAAUUGUAAAAACUAAACUUAAGAAUUCAGUAGAUUUGAAGCAGCAAAAGAGGAUUAGUGAAUUCGGAAAUACAGCAAUAUAAAAAAUUAAGAUUAACACAGAAGAAAAAAAGAUAGAAAAUACAAAAGAGAACAUAAAGGGCAUAGACAACAAGUGUAAAGGCCUAACAUAAGUGUAAUUGUAGCCCCAGAUAGAGAGGAAAGAGAUAAUGGGGUAAGGAAAUAUUUGAAGAACUAAUAGCUGACAAUUUUCCAAAACUGAGGAAAGACAUUAAUCCACAAAUUUAAAAUCUCCACAUACUCUAAGCAAGGUAAAUAUAAAAUGAAUUAUAUUCAUUAUAGCUAAACUGCUGAAAAAGAUACAAAAGGAAAUUGUGAACACAGCAGGAGAGAAAAGAUACAUUACCUUCAAUGGAGCAACAGUAAGAUUCAAGAUUGCCUCUUCAGACGUUAUAUGUUGAACAGACUGGAAGUUAGUAAAACUAACCUGAAAUUCUAGAUUCAGUGAAAGUAUAACAGCUCGAUUGGUUAAUCUCGCCCACUGCCUACCCAGAUAGAGCCAAUGUAUCAAGAUGGGGAAUUGCAACAGAGAAAGAGUUUAAUACAUGCAGAGGCAGCUAAACAGGGGACUGUAGUUUUAAUGCUAUUCAAAUUAGCCUCUCCAAAAAUUUGGGUUUUUUUAAAGAUAGUUUGGUGAGCAGGGGGCUAGGGAAUGAGUGCUGCUGAUUAGUUAGGGAUGCCAUUACAGGGGUGUGGAAAAUGGUCCUCAUGUGCUCAGUUCACUUCUGGAUGGGAGCCACAGAGGUAAUUCUGGUCUAGUUGGAGUCAACCAGUCAUCAGAAAUGCAAAAGUCUGAAAAAACAUCUUAAAAGGGCAAUUUUAGGGUCUACAGUAGUGAUGCUAUUUACAGGAGUAAUUGGAGAAGUUGCAAAUCCUUGUGACCUCCAGAAUAAUGGCUGGUAAUCAUUUACCUAUGCCUACAUCUUAGCAGGAUUCAGGUGCCUCUCGUCUUCCUAACCUGGCUUCCUUUCAUUAGUUGUACAAAAGUGGCUUAGUUUUGGGAAGAGCUAUUAUGUUUCAGUCUCCCAAAGUUAGUUGGCCCAUGCUCAGGAAUGGCCAAGGGCAGUUUGGAGGUUAAAAGCAAGAUGAAGUUGAUUAGAUCUUUCACUGUCAUGAUUUUCUCACUGUUAUAAUUUUUGCAAAGGCAGUUUCAAAAACAGCCUUCAGAAAUGAAGGGAAAAUAUUAUUUAAAGACAGCAAACCAGAAAGACCCAGUCUAAAAUAAAUGCCAAUAGAAAUUCUUCA
rnacentral:lncRNA from 13 species